CCAGACUCCUACGGGAGGCAGCAGUGAGGAAUAUUGGUCAAUGGACGCAAGUCUGAACCAGCCAUGCCGCGUGCAGGAUGACGGCUCUAUGAGUUGUAAACUGCUUUUGUACGAGGGUAAACGCAGAUACGUGUAUCUGUCUGAAAGUAUCGUACGAAUAAGGAUCGGCUAACUCCGUGC
rnacentral:rRNA from 1 species